UACGUAGGGUCCGAGCGUUGUCCGGAGUUACUGGGCGUAAAGGGCGCGCAGGUGGCGGUGUUGGCCCGGCGUGAAAGCCCCCCGGCUCAACUGGGGAGGGUCACGCGAUACUGGUCGACUCGAAGGCAGGAGAGGGUAGUGGAAUUCCCGGUGUAGUGGUGAAAUGCGUAGAUAUCGGGAGGAACACCAGUGGCGAAGGCGACUACCUGGCCUGUUCUUGACGCUGAGGCGCGAAAGCUAGGGGAGCAAACGGG
rnacentral:rRNA from 1 species